CCUAUCCUGCCACACCUCUGGUACCUUUCAGCGGAUUUUCAACUAUUUCUCAUCGGCGUCAUAGUCAUACAGACUUUCAAAAAAAAGAAGUGGCUCGUUGUUUGGCUUUUCGGAGCAUUAUCUUUUGCAUGUUGCAUCGUUUCUGCGUGGCAAAUAUACGGAACCAACAUCCCGCCCUUCUUGAUUGCCGUAAACACGACUUACAGAAAAUACCUGGACACGCUCAACAAAUACUACGUGCGACCUUUCUACCACGGCGUGUGCUUCUUCUCCGGCUGUAUGACGUUCCUGGCCAUUCAGAAGUAUGGC